AGGAAAAUUACAAGAAGAGUCGUCAUUUCAAGGUGUUUCACGGACGUAUUGGUAUGUGGAUGUUGACAAUGUCGGACGACAUCAAAGUUGACACGAGAAGUUGGAGUGAAGAUGAGACGAGCCUGCGACCUGCCUACUCUUGCUGCUAUGCUGCUGCCGCUGCUGUUGCAUCCAUAGAAAUUGGCUGUUACAGAUUUACUGACCAGAUAAAGGAAGUUCCCGCUGAUGCAGACCCAGAUGUUGGGUACCCAGCCACCUAUGCACGUUGACACAGCCAGCAGCGGGCACCUAUUGGGAUGGACCCAGCAGGAUGACCCAAUAGGAUGAAAUUUCAGCCCACUCACUGUUGACACCAGUGACACACAGAUUGACCAGAUCUCAUGGAAGUACCCCCUGAAUCAGACCCAGUCGUUGGGUAGCCACCCUUGCACGUUGACACAGCCAGCAGCGAGCACCCAGGGCGAUGGACGCAGGAGUGGAGGAUUGCCCAAUAGGGUGAGUUGCUA